rnacentral:piRNA from 1 species
UGGGUAAGGCUCAACCUCAAGUGCGACCCU